rnacentral:rRNA from 1 species
GCUUGUCUCAAAGAUUAAGCCAUGCAUGUCUUAGUGUAAAUAACUCUUAUGAAACUGCGAAUGGCUCAUUAAAUCAGUUAUCGUUUAUUUGAUGGUCCCUUACUACAUGGAUAACCGUAGUAAUUCUAGAGCUAAUACAUGCACAAAGGCCCGACUCACGAAGGGCUGUAUUUAUUAGAUUUAAAGCCGACAUCUUUUGGUGAUUCAUAAUAACCGAACGAACCGUAUGCGCAAGCGACGGUGGUUCAUUCAAGUUUCUGCCCUAUCAGCUUUCGAUGGUAGGGUAUUGGCCUACCAUGGCGUUAACGGGUAACGGAGAAUUAGGGUUCGAUUCCGGAGAGGGAGCCUGAGAGAUGGCUACCACAUCCAAGGAAGGCAGCAGG